rnacentral:rRNA from 1 species
UCAUUAUCGUAGGGCUUCGGCCCUGUCGAGAUAGAACCCUUGCCUUUUUGAGUACCUUUCGUUUCCUCGGCAGGCUCGCCUGCCAAUGGGGACCACAAAAAACACUUUGCAGUACCUGUAACAGUCUGAACAAACAAAACAAAAAUUAAAACUUUCAACAACGGAUCUCUUGGUUCUGGCAUCGAUGAAGAACGCAGCGAAAUGCGAUAAGUAGUGUGAAUUGCAGAAUUCAGUGAAUCAUCGAAUCUUUGAACGCACAUUGCGCCCUUUGGUAUUCCUUAGGGCAUGCCUGUUCGAGCGUCAUUUAAACCUUCAAGCUAAGCUUGGUGUUGGGUGACUGUCCGCUUCACUGCGGACUCGCCUCAAAAUUAUUGGCGGCCGGUACAUUGGCUUCGAGCGCAGCAGAAACGCGAACUCGGGCCCGUCGUAUUGGCUCCCAGAAGCUAUCUUCACAAUUUUGACCUCGGAUCAGGUAGGGAUACCCGCUGAACUUAAGCAUAUCAAUAAGCGGAGGA